rnacentral:rRNA from 1 species
UACGUAGGGUGCAAGCGUUAAUCGGAAUUACUGGGCGUAAAGCGUGCGCAGGCGGUUUUGUAAGCCAGAUGUGAAAUCCCCGGGCUUAACCUGGGAAUGGCAUUUGGGACUGCAAGGCUGGAGUUUGGCAGAGGAGACUGGAAUUCCUGGUGUAGCAGUGAAAUGCGUAGAUAUCAGGAGGAAUACCGAUGGCGAAGGCAGGUCUCUGGGCUAUAAACUGACGCUCAUGCACGAAAAGCGUGGGG